GCCUUCGUGGUGUAACGGAAGCGCACACGGUGCGCAUUCGAGAGGUCCAGGUUCGAGUCCCGGCGAGGGCA
rnacentral:tRNA from 1 species